UCUUGGUCAUUUAGAGGAAGUAAAAGUCGUAACAAGGUUUCCGUAGGUGAACCUGCGGAAGGAUCAUUAAUGAAUUUUGAAAGGGGUUGUAGCUGGCCUUUUAGGAGGCAUGUGCACACCCUGCUCUUCCAUUCUUACACCUGUGCACACUCUGUAGGUCGGUUUGAGCGGUUCUCUCUAACGGGGGAUGCUGUUUGGCCUUCCUAUGUUUUAUAACAAACUCUGUAAUGUCAUAGAAUGUCAUCGCGUAUAACGCAUUAUAAUAUAACUUUCAGCAACGGAUCUCUUGGCUCUCGCAUCGAUGAAGAACGCAGCGAAAUGCGAUAAGUAAUGUGAAUUGCAGAAUUCAGUGAAUCAUCGAAUCUUUGAACGCACCUUGCGCUCCUUGGUAUUCCGAGGAGCAUGCCUGUUUGAGUGUCAUGGAAUUCUCAACCCUCUUAUCCUUGUGGUGAGAUUGGGUUGGAUUUGGAGGUUUAUGCUGGCUUGUMAUGAGUCGGCUCCUCUUGAAUGCAUUAGCUUGGACCUUUGCGGACCAGCUUUUCGGUGUGAUAAUUGUCUACGCCGUGGGCUGUGAUGCUGUUUAACAUGCUUCGGCGUGUUGGGGUUCUGCUUCUAAUGGUCCCUUUGGUGGGACAACUUACUUUGACCUCUGACCUCAAAUCAGGUAGGAUUACCCGCUGAACUUAAGCAUAUCAAUAAGCGGAGGAAAAGAAACUAACAAGGAUUCCCCUAGUAACUGCGAGUGAAGCGGGAAAAGCUCAAAUUUAAAAUCUGGCGGUCUUUGGCCGUCCGAGUUGUAGUCUGGAGAAGUGCUUUCCGCGCUGGACCGUGUACAAGUCUCUUGGAACAGAGCGUCAUAGAGGGUGAGAAUCCCGUCUUUGACACGGACUACCAGUGCUUUGUGAUGCGCUCUCAACGAGUCGAGUUGUUUGGGAAUGCAGCUCAAAAUGGGUGGUAAAUUCCAUCUAAAGCUAAAUAUUGGCGAGAGACCGAUAGCGAACAAGUACCGUGAGGGAAAGAUGAAAAGCACUUUGGAAAGAGAGUUAAACAGUACGUGAAAUUGCUGAAAGGGAAACGAUUGAAGUCAGUCGCGUUGGCCGGAACUCAGCCUUGCUUCCGCUUGGUGUAUUUUCUGGUUGACGGGCCAGCAUCAGUUUUGAUCGUUGGAUAAAGGCUGGGGGAAUGUGGCACCUUCGGGUGUGUUAUAGCCCUCGGUCACAUACAACGGCUGGGACUGAGGAUCGCAGCACGCCUUUAUGGUCGGGGUUCGCCCACGUAUGUGCUUAGGAUGCUGGCAUAAUGGCUUUAAACGACCCGUCUUGAAACACGGACCAAGGAGUCUAACAUGCCCGCGAGUGUUUGGGUGGAAAACCCGAGCGCGUAAUGAAAGUGAAAGUUGAGAUCCCUGUCAUGGGGAGCAUCGACGCCCGGACCUGAACUUCUGUGACGGCUCUGCGGUGGAGCGUGUAUGUUGGGACCCGAAAGAUGGUGAACUAUGCCUGAAUAGGGUGAAGCCAGAGGAAACUCUGGUGGAGGCUCGUAGCGAUUCUGACGUGCAAAUCGAUCGUCAAAUUUGGGUAUAGGGGCGAAAGACUAAU
rnacentral:rRNA from 1 species